UACGAAGGGGGCUAGCGUUGCUCGGAAUCACUGGGCGUAAAGGGCGUGUAGGCGGCCAUUUAAGUCGGGGGUGAAAGCCUGUGGCUCAACCACAGAAUUGCCUUCGAUACUGGAUGGCUUGAGACCGGAAGAGGUAAGUGGAACUGCGAGUGUAGAGGUGAAAUUCGUAGAUAUUCGCAAGAACACCAGUGGCGAAGGCGGCUUACUGGUCCGGAUCUGACGCUGAGGCGCGAAAGCGUGGGGAGCAAACAGG
rnacentral:rRNA from 1 species